rnacentral:rRNA from 1 species
AGAGUUUGAUCCUGGCUCAGGAUGAACGUUGGCGGCGUGCCUAACACAUGCAAGUCGAACGGGAAGCUUACUUCGGUAAGUGGAGAGUGGCGCACGGGUGAGUAACAAGUAGCUAACCUACCCCAGAGGACGGGAUAACCCUCGGAAACGAGGGCUAAUACCGUAUAAGCUCACAGGCAGUAGCAAACUGUGAGAAAAGCUCAGGUGCUUGAAGAUGGGGCUGCGCAUCAUCAGCUAGAUGGUGGGGUAAAAGCCUACCAUGGCGACGACGAUUAGGGGACCUGAGAGGGUGACCCCCCACACUGGGACUGAGACACGGCCCAGACUCCUACGGGAGGCAGCAGUGAGGAAUAUUGCACAAUGGACGCAAGUCUGAUGCAGCGACGCCGCGUGGGUGAAGAAGGCUUUCGGGUCGUAAAGCCCUUUUCUAUGUGACGAGAAUGGACGGUAGCAUAGGAAUAAGUGUCGGCUAACUACGUGCCAGCAGCCGCGGUAAAACGUAGGACGCAAGCGUUAUCCGGAGUUACUGGGCGUAAAGCGCGUGCAGGCGGAUUAGAAAGUUACUUAUGAAAGCUCCUGGCUAAACUGGGAGAGGUUGAGUGAAACUACUAGUCUAGAGUGGAUGAGAGGUUGAGAGAAUUCCUUGUGUAGUGGUGAAAUGCGUAGAUAUGAGGAAGAAUACCAGUGGCGAAGGCGCUCAACUGGCAUCCAACUGACGCUCAGACGCGAAAGCAUGGGUAGCGAACGGGAUUAGAAACCCCGGUAGUCCAUGCCGUAAACGAUGUACACUAAACGUUCGCAGCCUCGGGGUAUGAGUAUUGAAGCUAACGCGAUAAGUGUACCGCCUGGGGAGUACGGUCGCAAGGCUAAAACUCAAAGGAAUUGACGGGGGCCCGCACAAGCAGCGGAGCGUGUGGUUUAAUUCGAGGAUACGCGAAGAACCUUACCUGGGUUUGACAUACAGGUGGUAACCUAAACGAAAGCGGUGGGACCCUUCGGGGAGGCUAAGCAGGUGCUGCAUGGUUGUCGUCAGCUCGUGCCGUGAGGUGUUCGGUUAAGUCCGCAAACGAGCGCAACCCUCGGUGUUAGUUACAAGUGUCUAACACGACUGCCCGUGACAAACGGGAGGAAGGUGGGGAUGACGUCAAGUCAGCAUGGCCUUUAUAUCCAGGGCUACACACACGCUACAAUGGCCGGUACAACAGGUAGCAAAGCCGCGAGGUGGAGCCAAUCCCAAAAAGCCGGUCUCAGUUCGGAUUGUAGGCUGCAACUCGCCUGCAUGAAGUCGGAGUUGCUAGUAACCGCGCGUCAGCACAGUGCGGUGAAUACGUUCCCGGGCCUUGUACACACCGCCCGUCACGUCAUGGGAGCUGGUUACGCCUGAAGUCGGGAAGCUAACCGCAAGGGGGCUACCGCCGAGGGCAGGAUUGGUGACUGGGACGAAGUCGUAACAAGGUAACC